rnacentral:lncRNA from 1 species
ACUCUAUAGAAAACAAAGCUAGAGAUAUUACACAAUCAAGCAUGAAUGUAAGGCAUGAAAUACAAGAGAUAAGGCAUCACAAACACAAAGAUGUAUAGUGGUUCGGUGCACCCCAGCACUUACAUCCACUCCCCAAGACCUCUUGAGAAUUUCACUAUAAUCCCUCAGAUUACAGUCGGUUGUUUUACAAGCUCACAACCCAACUUGUUGUUUUGCGAGAUCACAACGGACUCGGUCGAUUUUCACAGGCUCACCGACUAGAACCAACCGAUUGUUUUUCCGGGUUCACAAUCAAACCCAGUUGGUUUUCCCAAAGGCUCACCAACCACAACCUUACAACGAU